UGAAAAACUUUUCUUGGCUGAAUGCAGGCCAUGUUUUGGGUCAGUUCUCCAUGAAGUAGAUGAAGAUCUUGCUUGCACGAUUCCCUCUUUCUCAUCGUACUAAGCUGGGGGAGCAUGUGUGAGAUGUGGUUUACCAUGCAUCACUGGUUGAAAAAGGAGAAUAAAAAGACAUAGCUGCA